UACGAAGGGGGCUAGCGUUGUUCGGAUUUACUGGGCGUAAAGCGCACGUAGGCGGAUCUUUUAAGUCAGGGGUGAAAUGCCGCGGCUCAACCGCGGAACUGCCUUUGAUACUGGGGAUCUGGAGUCCGGGAGAGGUGAGCGGAACUGCGAGUGUAGAGGUGAAAUUCGUAGAUAUUCGCAAGAACACCAGUGGCGAAGGCGGCUCACUGGCCCGGUACUGACGCUGAGGUGCGAAAGCGUGGGGGAGCAAACAGGG
rnacentral:rRNA from 1 species